rnacentral:SRP_RNA from 1 species
GCCGGGCGCGGUGGCACGUGCCUAUAGUCCCAGCUACUCGGGAGGCUGAGGUGGGAGGAUGGCUUGAGUCCAAGAGUUCUGGGCUGCAGUGCGCUAUGCCGAUCGGGUGUCCGCACUAAGUUCGGCAUCAAUAUGGUGACCUCCUGGGAGCGGGGGGACCACCAGGUUGCCUAAGGAGGGGUGAACCGGCCCAGGUCGGAAACAGAGCAGGUCAAAACUCCCGUGCUGAUCAGUACUAUGAUGUUUACAUUCACCUUAGGGAGUAGAUACACAUUACUUAUCUUUUUCCUUUUAGUCCCCCUCCCCUCCU